CUUGUCUGUAGUGAGUGUGUGUGUCAGUGAGCUUGUCUGUAGUGAGCAUGUGUGUGUCAGUGAGCUUGUCUGUAGUGAAUCUGUGUUAGUGAGCUCUUCUGUAGGGAGCAUGUGUAUGUCAAUGGGCUUGUCUGUAAGGGAGAGUGUGUGCGCAUCAGUGAGCUUGUCUGUAGUGAGCGUGUGUGUGUGACAGUGAGCUUGUCUGUAGUAAGCUUGUGUGUAUCAGAGUUUGUCUGUACUAAAUUUGUGUGUCUGCCAGUAACCUUGUCUGUGUGUGUCAUUAAGAUUGUCUUUAAAUGAGCCUAUUUGUGUGCAUCAGUAAGAUUGUCUGUGUCUGUGUGUGAGUAUGCUUUACUGUAUAAUUUAAUUACCCUGAAAGGAC